AUGGCGACAGCAAGAGCACGAGCCGUGGUGGCGAGGUGGCUGCUGCGUGUCCCAGGAAAGCUGCUUUGUCCCCAAGCCCGGUGCCUGCGCAGGCAGCUGGCUGUGGCCACCGCCGCCCCAGCACUGCCAUUUCGCCGAGCUGCCAAAGGUCAUUUUUACUCAGCCCAUCCAGCUCACACAUUCCCCAGUGCUGGGGGAGGAAGGCAAAUAGUGCUGACUCUCAGCUGGUCUAGAGGUGCUGGAGAAAAGGACAGCAAAAGACUUUGCCUUUGUUUCUCGGCAGAUCUUCCAGGGAAGUGACACAGACAGAGUGUUUGGAAGCAUGGGAACUGCUUCCAAAGCAGUAGAAGAUUUCAACAUUUUUUAGGGAAGUUGAUUUUCCAAAAAAAAAAAAAAAAAAAAUUACGAUCCUUGUUGAGGUCUGUGUCUGGCACUCAGCUCCCGACUGCUGUCUCCUUUCUGGACUUCCACCAGCCGCAUACCUCCUGUGGGACCUUCUCUCCACGCUGACCUGCUGCAGCGGCUCGCCAGCAUCCCUGGCCUCGAUUUGGAAACUGCCUGCAUGCCUCCAAACUUAGCGUGGGACACAGAUGGCCUCAGAGGUGGUUAGCUGGAUUCCCACCUUGGAAACAUCCAGGAUCCCCUCUUCCCAAUCUUCAUCGAUUGGCAGAGAGCGAGGAAGAGGGAGGUGCGGCGUGGGGGGGGAGGCGAGGGGAAGGGCCAAGCAGGUGCAGGUGGGGAGCUGGGACGGAGUGUUUGUAUAGGAGCCAUUUGUAAGUAAUUUCUUGUUCCUUCCUGAACUAAUAGGCUAAUUAUUUUAGAAGGAUACACAUGUUUCUAAUGGAAAGUUCCACACACAUUGUGCGUCAGUUUGCUGGUGUAGCAGAUCUAAUUUUCCAAAUCUGAUUGCAUCGUUUGUACACAAACAGAAGUAGGUGAACCCCUCUGUUUCCAGGAGUCCGGAGACGGCAGUGACCGGUCAUGGAGCACCAGAAAAAAUCUCUUGGCCCAGGGAAAAUCAAUGGCUCUGCAUAAAAUGGACUGAUGUCAAAAGCUGAUCCACAAAGCAAAACAAACACCAUUCUGCUCUUUGAUGUAGUUCCCAUGCUUGACCCCAGGCAUUUGAACUAGUGUGUCUAAUUUUGUGUCCCAUCCUCUCUAGCAGCUCAGGAAGGAUAUGGAGAAAUUGGAGAGGGUCCAGUGAAGACUGCCAAGGUAGCUGGGGCCUGGAGCACAGGACCCAUGUGGAGAGAUGGAGAGAGCACGACUGGUUUAGUUUGGGGAAGGGGAAGYUAAGGGAGGAUCUAACAGCAUUCUACAACUUCUGGAAGCACAGCUAUAAAGGUGAUGGAGACAAACUUCUUGGCAGAGCCAGGUGUCAAAAUAAGGAGCAACAGCCCCACAAUUUGUGACAACCUUGGGACCUUUCACUUGGAUUUUAGGAAAAGAUUUUAACUCUAAGGCUAAUACAGUGCAAGAACAGGCUCCCAGAGAGCUACGUGGGUCUCCAUCAUUGGAAGGGAGCAAGACUCAGCCAGACAAGUUCAUGGCUGAGCUGAUCAGGUGUUGGUGACGUUCUUGGUCUGAGGGAGAGUUGGACUGGAGAUCUCCAAGGGCGCCUCCCCCUAGCACACCUAGGAGUCUACCCCUUGCUUUGCUGGUGGACAUGGGCAACGUCUUCCAGGACCUGGGCACUGAGCCCACAAGAGAUAUGGAACAGAAAUGCAGCAGGCCAAAGACCUCACGGCAUUGGUGGGGAUGAACUCUGUGUUUUUCUACAAAAAAGAAAAAAAAAGAAAAAAAAGGAAAAAAAGAAAAAAAAGGAAAUUCCUUGGCUAGGGGAGAGGAAUAUCAUGUUAGUAUCUGAGCUGAGAGAAGAGCUCGUUCCUUUUGCUCUCUGACCAACUCUGAUGCUGUUCAGAUCUGGAUAAAAGAUAAGAACUGAGUGCCAAAAAUUGUCACUGAGGGCUUGGGCUGGGUUGCAGGAUGGGAUGCUGCGCUCAGGAUCAUGUCUCUGCUGUCUCUUGCUACCAGGUUCCGUGUACUGAUCAGGCAAGGUCAUUUCUCUAAAUAAUAUGAUUAUAAAAUUUUGAUUCCCAGAUUACCAUGUUUUCCAUUUUAAGAUCYGUUAUGGCCCCACGAACAUGCAAACCACUUAAUGUCUGAGCCACACCAGUUGUGCAAGGAUCAGACAUGGGACAAGGAUAUUGGAUAGAUCUUGCAGCUAUUGCUCAGCACAUUUCAUUUAAUUUGUCUUAUGAAUGCAAACAAUUGGCUUAAUGAACUUUUUAGGGAACCAAAGGGUUGUUACAGGUAGGAAGUCUGAUAAGUUAAUACAGCCAGUCUUUCCUUUUAUAAAAUAAAUAGAAAGGAAGGAAGUAGAACA
ensembl:lncRNA